rnacentral:rRNA from 1 species
UACGGAGGGGGCUAGCGUUGUUCGGAAUUACUGGGCGUAAAGCGCACGUAGGCGGCUUUGCAAGUUAGAGGUGAAAGCCCGGGGCUCAACUCCGGAAUUGCCUUUAAAACUGCAUCGCUAGAAUUGUGGAGAGGUAAGUGGAAUUCCGAGUGUAGAGGUGAAAUUCGAUAGAUAUUCGGAAGAACACCAGUGGCGAAGGCGACUUACUGGACACAUAUUGACGCUGAGGUGCGAAAGCGUGGGGAGCAAACAGG